rnacentral:rRNA from 1 species
UACGAAGGGGGCUAGCGUUGUUCGGAAUUACUGGGCGUAAAGGGCGCGUAGGCGGCUUGGCAAGUGGAAGGUGAAAUCCCUCGGCUUAACCGAGGAACUGCCCUCCAAACUGCUUUGCUUGAGGCCGGGAGAGGUGAGUGGAAUUCCCAGUGUAGCGGUGAAAUGCGUAGAUAUUGGGAGGAACACCAGUGGCGAAGGCGGCUCACUGGACCGGUUCUGACGCUGAUGCGCGAAAGCGUGGGGAGCAAACGGG